rnacentral:rRNA from 1 species
AAGCCCCGUAUGGGAAAGGAAAGAGGACAAGGCAGGAUCCAGAGUACCACGAGACACGAGAAACCUUGUGGGAAGGAGCGGGGACCACCCCGUAAGGCUAAAUACUCCUUAGUGACCGAUAGUGCAUAGUACUGUGAAGGAAAGGUGAAAAGGACCCCGGGAGGGGAGUGAAAGAGAACCUGAAACCCUGUGUUUACAAGCUGUGGAACCGCUUUACAUGCGGAACCGCGUACUUUUUGUAGAACGGUCCGGCGAGUUGUGCAUGCUGGCAAGGUUAAGCGCCUAAGGCGUGGAGCCGUAGGGAAACCAAGUCUGAAUAGGGCCAGAGUCAGUAUGUGCAGACCCGAAACCGGGUGAUCUAUCCAUGUCCAGGUUGAAGCUGCCGUAAGAGGCAGUGGAGGACCGAACCCACAUCCGUUGAAAAGGGUGGGGAUGAGGUGUGGAUAGGGGAGAAAUUCCAAUCGAACCCGGAGAUAGCUGGUUCUCCUCGAAAUAGCUUUAGGGCUAGCCUCGAUAGAGAUACAUGGAGGUAGAGCACUGAAUUUCCUAGGGGGCGUCAAAGCCUACCGAAGAAUAUCAAACUCCGAAUGCCAUGGAAUUGAUUAUCGGGAGUCAGACUAUACGAGAUAAGUUGGAUAGUCAAAAGGGAAAGAGCCCAGACCUCCAGCUAAGGUCCCAAAGUACGUGUUAAGUGGAAAAGGAUGUGGGAUUUCGAAGACAACCAGGAUGUUGGCUCAGAAGCAGCCAUACAUUCAAAGAGUGCGUAAUAGCUCACUGGUCGAGAGGUCCUGCGCCGAAAAUGUCCGGGGCUAAAACACGACACCGAAGCUGAGGAAUGUAGUAAUACAUUGGUAGAGGAGCAUUGAAUACGGGAAGAAGCAGUACCGAAAGGAGCUGUGGACUGUAUUGAAGAGAGAAUGCCGGAAUGAGUAGCGAGAAUAAGGUGAGAAUCCUUAUGGCCGAAUAUCUAAGGUUUCCAGGGUAAAGCUGAUCUGCCCUGGGUAAGUCGGGACCUAAGGCGAGGUCGAAAGACGUAGCCGAUGGACAACAGGUUGAGAUUCCUGUACUGCGUUAGAACAGAACUGUGGGGACACGUGUGGAAAGCACAACCCGGGAAUGGAAUCCCGGGGCAAGCGAAGGAGGAGUCACAUAGGAAAAACCGUGUGACAAUCCAAAGGCGUGAUGCGGACCGAACUAGAGUAGGGAAGUGUGUGAGCCAUGCGUCAAGAAAAGCCGCUAUUGUUUGUAACGUACCCGUACCGUAAACCGACACAGGUGGAUGAGGAGAGAAUCCUAAGGCCGACGGAAGAAGCAUUGCCAAGGAACUCGGCAAAAUGACCCCGUAACUUCGGGAGAAGGGGUGCCCGUGUAAAAGCGGGCCGCAGAGAAUAGGCUCAAGCAACUGUUUAGCAAAAACACAGGUCUAUGCGAAACCGAAAGGUGAGGUAUAUGGGCUGACGCCUGCCCGGUGCUGGAAGGUUAAGAGGAGAUGUCAGGAAACGAAGCAUUGAAUUUAAGCCCCAGUAAACGGCGGCCGUAACUAUAACGGUCCUAAGGUAGCGAAAUUCCUUGUCGGGUAAGUUCCGACCCGCACGAAAGGCGUAAUGAUUUGAGCGCUGUCUCGGCAAUGCAUCCGGUGAAAUUGAAGUACCAGUGAAGAUGCUGGUUACCUGCGCCAGGACGGAAAGACCCCAUGGAGCUUUACUCCAGUUUGGUACUGGGAUUCGGUAUUGCAUGUACAGGAUAGGUGGGAGACAAAGAGGUAGUGACGCCAGUUGCUACGGAGUCGAUGUUGGGAUACCACCCUUGCAGUAUUGGGUUUCUAACCAGCCGCCGUGACCCGGCGGUGGGACAAUGCCAGGCGGGGAGUUUGACUGGGGCGGUCGCCUCCGAAAGGGUAUCGGAGGCGCCCAAAGGUUCCCUCAGAAUGGACGGAAACCAUUCGAAGAGUGCAAAGGCAGAAGGGAGCUUGACUGCGACACCGACGGGUGGAGCAGGUACGAAAGUAGGGCUUAGUGAUCCGGUGGUAUUAAGCGGGAAUGCGAUCGCUCAUCGGAUAAAAGCUACCCUGGGGAUUACAGGCUUAUCACUCCCAAGAGUUCACAUCGACGGAGUGGUUUGGCACCUCGAUGUCGGCUCAUCGCAUCCUGGGGCUGUAGUAGGUCCCA